AGAGUUGAUCCUGGCUUAGGAUGAACGCUGGCGGCGUGCCUAACACAUGCAAGUCGAACGAAGCACUUGGCUGAUCCUCGGGUGAAGCUUAGUGACUGAGUGGCGGACGGGCGAGUAACGCGUGGGUAACCUGCCCUGUACAGGGGGGAUAACAGUCAGAAAUGACUGCUAAUACCGCAUAAGCGCACGAAGGGACAUCCCUUAGUGUGAAAAACUCCGGUGGUACAGGAUGGGCCCGCGUCUGAUUAGCUUGUUGGCGGGGUAAAGGCCCACCAAGGCGACGAUCAGUAGCCGGUCUGAGAGGAUGAACGGCCACAUUGGAACUGAGACACGGUCCAAACUCCUACGGGAGGCAGCAGGUGGGGAAUAUUGCACAAUGGGGGGAACCCUGCUGCAGCAAACCGCCGCGUGAGUGGAGAAGUAUUUCGGUAUGUAAAGCUCUAUCAGCAGGGAAGAUAAUGACGGUACCUGACUAAGAAGCUCCGGCUAAAUACGUGCCAGCAGCAGC
rnacentral:rRNA from 1 species